rnacentral:rRNA from 1 species
UUUCGCCCUUAGAGUUUGAUCCUGGCUCAGAACGAACGCUGGCGGCAGGCUUAACACAUGCAAGUCGAACGCCCCUUUCGGGGGGAGUGGCAGACGGGUGAGUAACACGUGGGAACGUACCUCUUUGUUCGGAAUAACUCAUGGAAACGUGAGCUAAUACCGGAUACGCCCUUUUGGGGAAAGAUUUAUCGCAGAGAGAUCGGCCCGCGUCUGAUUAGCUAGUUGGUGAGGUAAUGGCUCACCAAGGCGACGAUCAGUAGCUGGUCUGAGAGGAUGAUCAGCCACACUGGGACUGAGACACGGCCCAGACUCCUACGGGAGGCAGCAGUGGGGAAUAUUGGACAAUGGGGGCAACCCUGAUCCAGCCAUGCCGCGUGAGUGAUGAAGGCCUUAGGGUUGUAAAGCUCUUUUAUCCGGGAAGAUAAUGACUGUACCGGAAGAAUAAGCCCCGGCUAACUUCGUGCCAGCAGCCGCGGUAAUACGAAGGGGGCUAGCGUUGUUCGGAAUCACUGGGCGUAAAGGGCGCGUAGGCGGACGAUUAAGUCAGGGGUGAAAUCCCGGGGCUCAACCUCGGAAUUGCCCUUGAUACUGGUUGUCUUGAGAUUGGAAGAGGUAAGUGGAAUUGCGAGUGUAGAGGUGAAAUUCGUAGAUAUUCGCAAGAACACCGGUGGCGAAGGCGACUUACUGAUCCAUAUCUGACGCUGAGGCGCGAAAGCGUGGGGAGCAAACAGGAUUAGAUACCCUGGUAGUCCACGCCGUAAAC